AUGAACGCUAGCUACAGGCUUAACACAUGCAAGUCGAGGGGCAGCAUGGUCUUAGCUUGCUAAGGCCGAUGGCGACCGGCGCACGGGUGAGUAACGCGUAUCCAACCUGCCUUACACUCUUGGACAGCCUUCUGAAAGGGAGAUUAAUACAAGAUGUUAUCAUGAGUAAGCAUUUUCGCAUGAUUAAAGGUUUACCGGUGUAAGAUGGGGAUGCGUUCCAUUAGAUAGUAGGCGGGGUAACGGCCCACCUAGUCUUCGAUGGAUAGGGGUUCUGAGAGGAAGGUCCCCCACAUUGGAACUGAGACACGGUCCAAACUCCUACGGGAGGCAGCAGUGAGGAAUAUUGGUCAAUGGACGAGAGUCUGAACCAGCCAAGUAGCGUGAAGGAUGAAGGUUCUAUGGAUUGUAAACUUCUUUUAUACGGGAAUAAACGGAUCCACGUGUGGAUUUUUGCAUGUACCGUAUGAAUAAGGAUCGGCUAACUCCGUGCCAGCAGCCGCGGUAAUACGGAGGAUCCGAGCGUUAUCCGGAUUUAUUGGGUUUAAAGGGAGCGUAGAUGGGUUGUUAAGUCAGUUGUGAAAGUUUGCGGCUCAACCGUAAAAUUGCAAUUGAUACUGGCAGUCUUGAGUACAGUUGAGGUAGGCGGAAUUCGUGGUGUAGCGGUGAAAUGCUUAGAUAUCACGAAGAACUCCGAUUGCGAAGGCAGCUUACUAACCUGUAACUGACAUUGAUGCUCGAAAGUGUGGGUAUCAAACAGGAUUAGAUACCCUGGUAGUCCACGCCGUAAACGAUGAGUACUAAGUGUUGGGAGUCAAAUCUCAGUGCUGCAGUUAACGCAAUAAGUACUCCGCCUGAGUAGUACGUUCGCAAGAAUGAAACUCAAAGGAAUUGACGGGGGCCCGCACAAGCAGUGGAGUAUGUGGUUUAAUUCGAAGCAACGCGAAGAACCUUACCAGGUCUUGACAUCCGAUGCAUAACACAGAGAUGUGUGAAAUCCUUCGGGACAUCGAGACAGGUGGUGCAUGGUUGUCGUCAGCUCGUGUCGUGAGAUGUUGGGUUAAGUCCCGCAACGAGCGCAACCCCUAUUGUCAGUAGCCAGCAGGUAAAGCUGGGCACUCUGAUGAGACUGCCAGGGAUAACCUGGAGGAAGGUGGGGAUGACGUCAAAUCAGCACGGCCCUUACGUCCGGGGCUACACACGUGUUACAAUGGGGGGUACAGAGGGCUGCUACCACGCAAGUGGAUGCCAAUCCCAAAAACCUCUCUCAGUUCGGAUUGAAGUCUGCAACCCGACUUCAUGAAGCUGGAUUCGCUAGUAAUCGCGCAUCAGCCACGGCGCGGUGAAUACGUUCCCGGGCCUUGUACACACCGCCCGUCAAGCCAUGGGAGCCGGGGGUACCUGAAGUGCGUAACCGCAAGGAGCGCCCUAGGGUAAAACUGGUGACUGGGGCU
rnacentral:rRNA from 1 species